rnacentral:rRNA from 1 species
GACGAACGCUGGCGGCGUGCUCAACACAUGCAAGUCAAACGGUAAGGCCCUUCGGGGUACACGAGUGGCGAACGGGUGAGUAACACGUGGGUGAUCUGCCCUGCACUUCGGGAUCAGCCUGGGAAACUGGGUCUAAUACCGGAUCGGCCUCCUGGCUUCAUGGUUGGGGGUGGAACGCUUUUGCGGUGUGGGAUGGGCCCGCGGCCUAUCAGCUUGUUGGUGGGGUGAUGGCCUACCAAGGCGACGACGGGUAGCCGGCCUGAGAGGGUGACCGGUCACACUGGGACUGAGAUACGGCCCAGACUCCUACGGGAGGCAGCAGUGGGGAAUAUUGCACAAUGGGCGCAAGCCUGAUGCAGCGACGCCGCGUGAGGGAUGACGGCCUUCGGGUUGUAAACCUCUUUCAGCUAUGACGAAGCGCAAGUGACGGUAGUAGCAGAAGAAGGACCGGCCAACUACGUGCCAGCAGCCGCGGUAA